rnacentral:rRNA from 1 species
AACGAACGCUGGCGGCAGGCUUAACACAUGCAAGUCGAACGCCCCGCAAGGAGAGUGGCAGACGGGUGAGUAACGCGUGGGAAUCUACCCAGAUCUUCGGAACAACUGAGGGAAACUUCAGCUAAUACCGGAUACGCCCUACGGGGGAAAGAUUUAUCGGUUCUGGAUGAGCCCGCGUUGGAUUAGCUAGUUGGUGGGGUAAUGGCCUACCAAGGCGACGAUCCAUAGCUGGUCUGAGAGGAUGAUCAGCCACACUGGGACUGAGACACGGCCCAGACUCCUACGGGAGGCAGCAGUGGGGAAUAUUGGACAAUGGGCGAAAGCCUGAUCCAGCCAUGCCGCGUGAGUGAUGAAGGCCUUAGGGUUGUAAAGAUCUUUCAGUGAGGAAGAUAAUGACUGUACCCACAGAAGAAGCCCCGGCUAACUCCGUGCCAGCCGCCGCAGUAAAAC